rnacentral:rRNA from 1 species
CACACCCGGAGAACUGAAACAUCUUAGUACCCGGAGGAAGAGAAAGAAAAUUCGAUUCCCUUAGUAGCGGCGAGCGAAACGGGAAGAGCCCAAACCAACAAGCUUGCUUGUUGGGGUUGUAGGACACUCUAUACGGAGUUACAAAGGACGACAUUAGACGAAUCAUCUGGAAAGAUGAAUCAAAGAAGGUAAUAAUCCUGUAGUCGAAAAUGUUGUCUCUCUUGAGUGGAUCCUGAGUACGACGGAGCACGUGAAAUUCCGUCGGAAUCUGGGAGGACCAUCUCCUAAGGCUAAAUACUCUCUAGUGACCGAUAGUGAACCAGUACCGUGAGGGAAAGGUGAAAAGCACCCCGGAAGGGGAGUGAAAUAGAACCUGAAACCGUGUGCUUACAAGUAGUCAGAGCCCGUUAAUGGGUGAUGGCGUGCCUUUUGUAGAAUGAACCGGCGAGUUACGAUUUGAUGCAAGGUUAAGCAGUAAAUGUGGAGCCGUAGCGAAAGCGAGUCUGAAUAGGGCGUUUAGUAUUUGGUCGUAGACCCGAAACCAGGUGAUCUACCCUUGGUCAGGUUGAAGUUCAGGUAACACUGAAUGGAGGACCGAACCGACUUACGUUGAAAAGUGAGCGGAUGAACUGAGGGUAGCGGAGAAAUUCCAAUCGAACCUGGAGAUAGCUGGUUCUCUCCGAAAUAGCUUUAGGGCUAGCCUCAAGUGAUGAUUAUUGGAGGUAGAGCACUGUUUGGACGAGGGGCCCCUCUCGGGUUACCGAAUUCAGACAAACUCCGAAUGCCAAUUAAUUUAACUUGGGAGUCAGAACAUGGGUGAUAAGGUCCGUGUUCGAAAGGGAAACAGCCCAGACCACCAGCUAAGGUCCCAAAAUAUAUGUUAAGUGGAAAAGGAUGUGGCGUUGCCCAGACAACUAGGAUGUUGGCUUAGAAGCAGCCAUCAUUUAAAGAGUGCGUAAUAGCUCACUAGUCGAGUGACACUGCGCCGAAAAUGUACCGGGGCUAAACAUAUUACCGAAGCUGUGGAUUGUCCUUUGGACAAUGGUAGGAGAGCGUUCUAAGGGCGUUGAAGCAUGAUCGUAAGGACAUGUGGAGCGCUUAGAAGUGAGAAUGCCGGUGUGAGUAGCGAAAGACGGGUGAGAAUCCCGUCCACCGAUUGACUAAGGUUUCCAGAGGAAGGCUCGUCCGCUCUGGGUUAGUCGGGUCCUAAGCUGAGGCCGACAGGCGUAGGCGAUGGAUAACAGGUUGAUAUUCCUGUACCACCUAUA